AAGGCUUUAUCUUAAUAAAAGUGUUUGAUUUGCAUUCAGAAGAUGAAGAAUAAUAAUCUUCAAGUCUUG
rnacentral:tRNA from 1 species